UUCCUUAUAUUAACAAAGAAAUCUUAACUUUCGCUCUAAGAAGUUUAAAUCUCGCAUAGUAGUAGUUGAGGUUAAAGCUUAACCAGCAUAAUAUGCGUAGUCGAAACUGAAAGGUUGAUCGACCACAGUGGGACUGAACAAAUCCCAUAAUUAAUUUUACAGCAGUGAGGAAUAUUGGUCAAUAGCCUAACGGCUGAACCAGCAACUUGGAGGAAUGUAUAGCAAUAGCUAGCUGCGCUAAAUUUUUAGUGCAUAAUCGACUAUGUCGAAUAAAAUUCUGGGUAGAACUAUGAUAAUGACAUUAUCUAUCUAUAAGUCUUGACCAAAUUACGUGCCAGCAGUCGCGGUAAUACGUAGAAGACAAGUGUUAUUCAUCUUUAAUAGGUUUAAAGGGUACUUAGACGGUAAAUAAAGCCUGAGAGGGGACACAUUUACUAGAGUUAAAUAUGAGGGAGUUUGAAAGUACUUUUGGUGUAGAGAUGAAAUUUUAUGAUACCAUCACGGCACAGGUUUAGGCGAAAGCAUCUUCUUAUCUAAUAACUGACGUUGAAGGACGAAGGCUUUGUGUCUCGAACAGGAUUAGUUACCCUAGUAGUCUAAGCAGACAAUGAUGAAUGUCAUAGAUUAGAUUUAGUUUAGUCUAUAAAUGAAAGUGUAAGCAUUCCACCUCAAGAGUAAUUUGGCAACAUUGGAACUGAAAUCAUUAGACCGUUUCUGAAACCAGUAGUGAAGUAUGUUGUUUAAUUUGAUAAUCCGCAAAAAACCUUACCACAAUUUGAAUAUAUAUAUAUAAUAUAAUACAAGCGUUGCACGGCUGUCUUCAGUUAAUGUCGUGAGACUUUGGUUAGUUCCAUUAAAUUAACGUAAACCCUUGCUUUAUUUAAUUAUAAAGUAGUUCGCCAUUAUAUUGGAUGUGAUAAUAG
rnacentral:rRNA from 1 species